rnacentral:SRP_RNA from 1 species
GCCGGGCGUGGUGGCGGGUGCCUGUAGUCCCAGCUACUCGGGAGGCUGAGGCAGGAGAAUGGCGUGAACCUGGGAGGCAGAGCUUGCAGUGAGCCGAGAUCACACCACUGCACUCAAGCCUGGGCGCAGAGACUCCGUCUCAAAAAAAAAAAAAAGAAGUGAACUCAUGGGAAGCCCUGUCCUGGUGGUUCUACAUAGAAACAAUUUCCUAGCAACUUAUUUUUUUUUUUUUUUUUUUUUGAGACGGGGUCUCGCUCCGUCACCCAGGCUGGAGUGCAGUGGCGGAUCUCAGCUCACUGCAAGCUCGCCUCCUGGGUUCACGCAUUCUCCUGCCUCAG